GUGCUUGCUUGGGCAGCACAUAAACUAAAAUUGGAACAUACAGAGAAGAUUAGCAUGGUUACUGUCCAAAGAUGACACACAAGUUCGUGAAGCUUCUGUGUUUUCC
ensembl:snRNA U6 U6 spliceosomal RNA